rnacentral:tRNA from 2 species
GGGCCCGUAGCUCAACGGAAGAGCAUCGCCUUUGCAAGGCGGAGGUUGCAGGUUCGAGUCCUGUCGGGUCCACCA